rnacentral:rRNA from 1 species
AGAGUUUGAUCCUGGCUCAGAACGAACGCUGGCGGCAUGCCUAAUACAUGCAAGUCGAACGAGAUCUUCGGAUCUAGUGGCGCACGGGUGCGUAACGCGUGGGAAUCUGCCCUUGGGUUCGGAAUAACUUCUGGAAACGGAAGCUAAUACCGGAUGAUGACGUAAGUCCAAAGAUUUAUCGCCCAAGGAUGAGCCCGCGUAGGAUUAGCUAGUUGGUNGGGUAAAGGCCCNCCAAGGCNACGAUCCUUAGCUGGUCUGAGAGGAUGAUCAGCCACACUGGGACUGAGACACGGCCCAAUC